rnacentral:rRNA from 1 species
GAGUUUGAUCCUGGCUCAGAACGAACGCUGGCGGCAUGCCUAACACAUGCAAGUCGAUCGCCCCGCAAGGGGAGAGGCGAACGGGUGAGUAAUACAUAGGAAUCUGCCCAACACUGGGGGAUAACUACUGGAAACAGUAGCUAAUACCGCAUACGCCAUAUUGGGAAAGCUACGGCGGUGAUGGAUGAGCCUAUGUCUGAUUAGCUAGUUGGUAGGGUAAAGGCCUACCAAGGCGACGAUCAGUAGCUGGUCUGAGAGGAUGAUCAGUCACACUGGAACUGAGACACGGUCCAGACUCCUACGGGAGGCAGC